rnacentral:lncRNA from 1 species
GGCGCUCGGAGUGGGGAGUGGGGCCUAGCCGCAGCCGGAGCCUGGGAGACGAUGCAUCACUGUAAGCGAUACCGUUCCCCAGAGCCAGACCCAUACCUGAGCUACCGCUGGAAGAGGAGGCGGUCUUACAGUCGGGAGCAUGAAGGUCGACUACGAUACCCAUCCCGAAGGGAGCCUCCCCCACGGAGAUCAAGGUCCAGAAGCCAUGAUCGUAUACCCUACCAGAGGAGGUACCGGGAACACCGAGACAGCGAUACAUAUCGGUGUGAAGAGCGGAGCCCAUCCUUUGGAGAGGACUGCUAUGGGUCUUCACGUUCUCGACAUCGGAGACGGUCACGAGAGAGGGGGCCGUACCGUACCCGCAAGCAUGCCCACCACUGUCACAAACGUCGUACCAGGUCUUGUAGCAGCGCCUCCUCGGUGAGUGGUGGCCAAAGUGUGCUAAUAGGGGCCUAAAGGCCUCACCUCUUUCUCGCCUUUUCUCAGGCUAGCUGGUCUGGGUGAGUACUGGCAACCCCGCGUACAUACACCAUUGUGGAUACACACAAGAGGUGUGUGU